UACGUAGGGCGCAAGCGUUAUCCGGAAUUAUUGGGCGUAAAGAGCUCGUAGGCGGUUUGUCGCGUCUGCCGUGAAAGUCCGGGGCUCAACUCCGGAUCUGCGGUGGGUACGGGCAGACUAGAGUGAUGUAGGGGAGACUGGAAUUCCUGGUGUAGCGGUGAAAUGCGCAGAUAUCAGGAGGAACACCGGUGGCGAAGGCGGGUUGCUAGGCUGACACUGACGCUGAAGCGCGAAAGCUAGGGUAGCAAACAGG
rnacentral:rRNA from 1 species